rnacentral:rRNA from 1 species
GUUGUAUAGUCAAGUAAUUAAGUGCAUGUGGUGGAUGCCUUGGCAGUCAGAGGCGAUGAAAGACGUGAUAGCCUGCGAAAAGCUCCGGGGAGGCGGCAAAUAUCCUUUGAUCCGGAGAUGUCUGAAUGGGGAAACCCACCUACUUUAAGGUAGGUAUUGCAACAUGAAUACAUAGUGUUGCAAGGCGAACGAGGGGAAGUGAAACAUCUCAGUACCCUUAGGAAAAGAAAUCAAUUGAGAUUCCCUCAGUAGCGGCGAGCGAACGGGGAUCAGCCCAUUAAGUUAUGUGUGUUUUAGUGGAACGCUCUGGGAAGUGCGAACGUAGAGGGUGAUAUUCCCGUACACGAAAGGGCACACAUAAUGAUGACGAGUAGGGCGAGGCACGUGAAACCUUGUCUGAAUAUGGGGGGACCAUCCUCCAAGGCUAAAUACUCCUGACUGACCGAUAGUGAACCAGUACCGUGAGGGAAAGGCGAAAAGAACCCCUGUGAGGGGAGUGAAAUAGAUCCUGAAACCGCAUGCAUACAAGCAGUGGGAGCACCUUCGUGGUGUGACUGCGUACCUUUUGUAUAAUGGGUCAGCGACUUAUAUUCAGUAGCGAGGUUAACCGUAUAGGGGAGCCGUAGAGAAAUCGAGUCUUAAUAGGGCGUUUAGUUGCUGGGUAUAGACCCGAAACCAGGCGAUCUAUCCAUGAGCAGGUUGAAGGUUGGGUAACACUAACUGGAGGACCGAACCCACUGUCGUUGAAAAGCCAGGGGAUGACUUGUGGAUAGGGGUGAAAGGCUAAUCAAGCCUGGUGAUAGCUGGUUCUCCCCGAAAGCUAUUUAGGUAGCGCCUCGGACGAAUACCAUAGGGGGUAGAGCACUGUUUCGGCUAGGGGGUCAUCCCGACUUACCAAACCGAUGCAAACUCCGAAUACCUAUGAGUACUAUCCGGGAGACAGACUGCGGGUGCUAACGUCCGUAGUCAAGAGGAAAACAAUCCAGACCGCCAGCUAAGGCCCCAAAAUCAUAGUUAAGUGGGAAACGAUGUGGGAAGGCAUAGACAGCUAGGAGGUUGGCUUAGAAGCAGCCACCCUUUAAAGAAAGCGUAAUAGCUCACUAGUCGAGUCGGCCUGCGCGGAAGAUGUAACGGGGCUAAAACUAUGUGCCGAAGCUGCGGAUGUAUACUUUGUAUACGUGGUAGGGGAGCGUUCUGUAAGCCGAUGAAGGUGUGUUGAGAAGCAUGCUGGAGGUAUCAGAAGUGCGAAUGCUGACGUGAGUAACGACAAAACGGGUGAAAAACCCGUUCGCCGAAAGACCAAGGGUUCCAGUCCAACGUUAAUCGGGGCUGGGUGAGUCGACCCCUAAGGCGAGGCCGAAAGGCGUAGUCGAUGGGAAAAUGGUUAAUAUUCCAUUACUUCUGUGUAAUGCGAUGAGAGGACGGAGAAGGCUAAAUCAGCCUGGCGUUGGUUGUCCAGGUGAAAGGAUGUAGGCAUGUAUCUUAGGCAAAUCCGGGGUACUCUAUGCUGAGAUCUGAUAGCAAGCUGUACUUGUACAGCGAAGUGGUUGAUGCCAUGCUUCCAGGAAAAGUCUCUAAGCUUCAGUUACACAGGAAUCGUACCCGAAACCGACACAGGUGGUCAGGUCGAGUAGACCAAGGCGCUUGAGAGAACUCUGCUGAAGGAACUAGGCAAAAUGGUACCGUAACUUCGGGAGAAGGUACGCUGUUGUUGGUGAUGGAACUCGCUUCCUGAGCUGACGACAGCCGCAGAAACCAGGCCGCUGCAACUGUUUAUUAAAAACAUAGCACUCUGCAAACACGAAAGUGGACGUAUAGGGUGUGAUGCCUGCCCGGUGCUGGAAGGUUAAUUGAUGGGGUUAGCGUAAGCGAAGCUCUUGAUCGAAGCCCCAGUAAACGGCGGCCGUAACUAUAACGGUCCUAAGGUAGCGAAAUUCCUUGUCGGGUAAGUUCCGACCUGCACGAAUGGCAUAAUGAUGGCGGCGCUGUCUCCAGCAGAGGCUCAGUGAAAUCGAAAUCGCUGUGAAGAUGCAGUGUACCCGCGGCUAGACGGAAAGACCCCGUGAACCUUUACUGCAGCUUGACACUGAACUUUGACCUUACUUGUGUAGGAUAGGUGGGAGGCUUUGAAGCUGGAACGCUAGUUCCAGUGGAGCCGUCCUUGAAAUACCACCCUGGUAAUGUUGAGGUUCUAACUCUGUCCCGUGAUCCGGGACGAGGACCGUGUCUGGUGGGUAGUUUGACUGGGGCGGUCUCCUCCUAAAGAGUAACGGAGGAGUACGAAGGUGCGCUCAGCGUGGUCGGAAAUCACGCGUAGAGUAUAAAGGCAAAAGCGCGCUUAACUGCGAGACCCACAAGUCGAGCAGGUACGAAAGUAGGUCUUAGUGAUCCGGUGGUUCUGUAUGGAAGGGCCAUCGCUCAACGGAUAAAAGGUACUCUGGGGAUAACAGGCUGAUACCGCCCAAGAGUUCAUAUCGACGGCGGUGUUUGGCACCUCGAUGUCGGCUCAUCUCAUCCUGGGGCUGAAGCAGGUCCCAAGGGUAUGGCUGUUCGCCAUUUAAAGAGGUACGCGAGCUGGGUUUAGAACGUCGUGAGACAGUUCGGUCCCUAUCUACCGUGGGCGCUGGAAAUUUGAGAGGAUCUGCUCCUAGUACGAGAGGACCAGAGUGGACGAACCUCUGGUGUACCGGUUGUGACGCCAGUCGCAUCGCCGGGUAGCUAUGUUCGGAAGGGAUAACCGCUGAAAGCAUCUAAGCGGGAAGCCUACCUCAAGAUAAGAUUUCCCUAGGACUUUAUGUCCUCUAAAGAGCCGUUCGAGACUAGGACGUUGAUAGGUUGGAUGUGGAAGCAUAGUGAUAUGUGAAGCUGACCAAUACUAAUUGCUCGUGAGGCUUGACUAUACAACACCCAAGCAGUUG